GUGGCACAGCCCCAAGGCAGCCGCUCGCUCCGUCCAGGUGGAAAUCCAGCUCUCCCAGAAAUCCAGCUCUCCCAGCUCCGCCGGCCACUCGCAGCAUCCGGGACGGGCUUCGGGUCCGUGCCCGCCGCGGAGCCUUCAUCCCCGCGCUCAUCCCAUCCUCACCGCUCCGGACAGACGGUGCAGGGAGAGCUCUGCAGGAGAGUGAGGGAUGGCCAAGAACCCCCGCAUCUCCCUGGAUGCUUUCCAGGGAGCCGGCACCCAAGUGACCACAUCCAGAAACCGCUGGCUCCAGACGCCAGUGCAUCCCAAAACGGGUAUUGGAGUCUAAUCCCGGCGCUCGCCGUCAGCAGCUGCAGCUGGGACAGGCACCCAGGCAAGAACCUGGGGAAAACAGCGACCCGAGAGCAGCAGCACAAGGCGGGGGUGUGCGGGGAGCCCCGGGGAAGGGCAGUCCUUCAAUCCGCUCCGCACCCACGGACACGGCCACCCGCGCCCUCCUCCUGGGGAGCGCACUUGGGGACCCCCCGCUUCCCCCGCCCGGCUCCCCAGACACAGCCGCAGGGACAAGCUCCCACUUGCAAGACUACAAAGGAAGGAAGAAAAACCCACGGAAGCCAGACCCGGCUGCAAAACUCUCGGUCACGGCUGCAGACAGUAAAAUAAUUAACAGAACGAAACUAUUCACGGAGUUCCUUUGGGCUUGACUCUCUGUGUGGAAGGAGCCAACAAUGGCAUAGAAGCAAAAUUACCCCUAAAAAGGGCCGAGAGGCUGAAAAACAGAUGGAAGUGGGAGCUGAGUUAUGUACCAGAUAUCCCUCAGACUGGUGGGAAAGAGAGAAAAUUCAUGCAGACAAUGGAAAAAAAUAUUUGUGCAGCUUACAGAGACUCGUCCAGGGGGACUGAGCUGUUGCUGGAAGGAACCUCUGACUCCAGCUUGCCUCAUCCAUUCGGGAAGCAGCGUGAGUGGAGCCUAAGCCACCUGGCUCUGGGAAGGAGGGUGCUUUUCUCUGCACCUUCUCUCUAACUCUUAACAGCUUUUAAUAAAAUUCUGGCAACUUGGCACAUUUGAAAA